rnacentral:rRNA from 1 species
GACGAACGCUGGCGGCGUGCUUAACACAUGCAAGUCGAACGGAAAGGCCCCUUUGGGGGUACUCGAGUGGCGCACGGGUGAGUAACACGUGAGUAACCUGCCCUUGACUUCGGGAUAACUUCAGGAAACUGGGGCUAAUACCGGAUAGGAAUCCUUGCUGCAUGGUGGGGGUUGGAAAGCUUCGGCGGUUUUGGAUGGACUCGCGGCUUAUCAGCUUGUUGGUGGGGUAGUGGCUUACCAAGGCUUUGACGGGUAGCCGGCCUGAGAGGGCGACCGGCCACAUUGGGACUGAGAUACGGCCCAGACUCCUACGGGAGGCAGCAGUGGGGAAUAUUGCACAAUGGGCGGAAGCCUGAUGCAGCAACGCCGCGUGCGGGAUGACGGCCUUCGGGUUGUAAACCGCUUUCAGCAGGGGCGAAGCCUGUGGUGACGGUACCUGCAGAAGAAGCACCGGCUAACUACGUG